UACGUAGGGUGCAAGCGUUGUCCGGAAUUAUUGGGCGUAAAGAGCUCGUAGGCGGUUUGUUGCGUCGGCUGUGAAAUCCCGAGGCUCAACCUCGGGUCUGCAGUCGAUACGAGCAAACUAGAGUGUUGCAGGGGAGACUGGAAUUCCUGGUGUAGCGGUGAAAUGCGCAGAUAUCAGGAGGAACACCGGUGGCGAAGGCGGGUCUCUGGGCAACAACUGACGCUGGAGACGCGAAAGCGUGGGGAGCGAACAGG
rnacentral:rRNA from 1 species